rnacentral:lncRNA from 7 species
GGCCCCACCCCUCACUCUGUGAGACCAAUGCCCGCAGUGCUUGCCGCCGCCCAACCAUGGAGAUAGGGCAGUACGCCACGACCAGCUGCUCCAAGGAGCAUCAGAAGAUUUCCGCUCGUGGACGCAUGUUUGAUUUUGUCCCCCCUACUAUGUUUCCUUCGAUCCCCAAUCCCCUUCCCAGGUAAGAAACACACGUCUCCACAGGCGGCCACCACUGAUUCGGUCUAGCUGGAGGUAACAGUGGCGAUGGAGAUGGCGGUCACAGAGCCAUGAACUCAUGGGCGGGGGAGCGUGUCAAGAAAAGAAUUACUUCGCCGAGAAAAGAAAUCUGACGAAAUGACAAUGCAAGUAGGGAUUGUUAACCUGCUAACACGUGGAGGGCUCGCCUUCAAGGGGAUGCAACAUGGUUGUAAUCUCUAAAGAAGUAACAUAUGUCUCCAACAACAAAGGGUCCAUUUAUGUUUUUAUGGUUUGAAGCUCCUGACUUGCUUCAGGAAGAUUAGUACAAGCUUUGUUGUUUUGAUCCCUAGCUGUAGUUAGUCCUGGGUGUAGUUGGUAAAUUUGUGUUUGGAAAUUGAUCCAGACAUGUGCUUUUAGUGUCUGUCCAUGUAAAAACACAGUUAGAUCUUAUUACUUUCCAUUCCUGGCUCUGACAGAAUGACUUGCGAGACUGUUCUAUGCUAUUAGUUUUCAUAUUUGUUAAGUGAGUGUUUGUUUGGGAU